UAUAGGAAGAAUCAUCUCAAAAUGUAUUUUAAGACGGUUCCGACGACCUGCCGCCGAGCUGAAGCGAGGGGGCAUUACAUAUU
rnacentral:sRNA from 1 species